CUUUGAAUACAAAGUAAAAGCCCUAGUUGGUUGUUCACCGGUUGGCUAAGUCCAGCCCGGAAUUUUAUGUUCAUAAAUCAAUAACAGGCCUUGGAGGAAGACGACGGGGCCAGUCACGGGAUCCUGAGCGGAGCCGAUGCCAGGGGCUCCACGAUCACGUCGUAAUGAGAGACCACCAUGAAGAAGGUGAGAAGAAUUAGGAAAUAGCUUUUCACUUUCGGACUUUCAGUGUGGCUUUAAUCACGGGCAGAUCACGUGGUGUCACUCUUUUAUAGUUUUAUUGGAUCUGACGAUUGACCAGUCCGAACUGGGAGAGAGUGAAAAUGGAGGAACCGUCGUCUCCUGGAACUAACCCAGUAGACAUGAAAGACUGCAUAGAAGAGAUGUUAAAAUUCACUCUUGAUUCUCAUAUCAAAGAAACCCUGGAAUUCGAUCUAGGGCUCUCAAAGGAUUUCCGCUCUCUUCUCCUCGAGGACUCUCAAUGUCAUACUGAUUGUGUAGAUAAAGAUCUCCAAUAUCCUCUAUACAAGCUUCUUGCAUCUUCUCUGUAUGAAUCUAUUGCUUCUGGAGCGUUUUGUGGAAGAGAGAGUGAAAUGGCAUCUUUGAAGGAAAAUGAUGUGUUGUUGAGUGAACGAAAAGAAGAUGACAAGUCAAAGCAGAAACAAAAGUGGCUUGAUUUGAUUCUGGAUAGGGGAUUUGAGAUACUAAACAUAUUGAAGAGCAUAAACUUUGAGCUUCAUGUUCAGGAGCCUUUCUUUACACAGCUAAGAGAUGGCCACAAAACAGUUGAAGGAAGGUGUGCUACUGGUGAUUAUAAUCGAAUUGAAUCAGGAUCGUCUAUUCUUUUUAAUAAAUGCGUGGUUCAUGAGGUUCAGGAGGUUCGUCGUUAUGCUUCAUUCCAUGAGAUGUUGGAAUCAGAGGGUCUGGCAAAAGUCCUUCCUGGAGUAAAAACCACUGACAGAGGUGUUCAAGUUUACAGAAACUUCUACACGGAAGAGAAGGAGAGGUCCAAUGGUGUCCUCGCAAUUUGUGUUGCAAAAUGUCCCAGCCAACCCUACUUUUUGCUGGCUGAAAUUUUAUCUGGAUUGAGGUGUGAUGGUGUUGAUUACCUUUUGGGUCUUUCACAUCAGGUCGGAACACGCAGCAGGGACUUCUGAAAGCAAAGUCAGUUCCUUUCUCUUCAUCUUCAUCUCCUAUUUAGCCAAAUAUAAGCACCUAUGUCAUGUGGCCUUGCUUGCCAGGUGCACAAAAGUCGAGUUGGAGAGUGAAGGAACCUCCAUAAAAUUUAGAGACGUAAAUAGUUGGGUUUUGGGUUUAGCUGAAUGAAGUGAACUGUUGGAUUCUUAAGAAAUUUUUCAGAAUUUAGACCCAUUAGCAGCAAAACAUGUUUCAUUCCAUUUUUUAGGAAUUUAUGGGUGAGGUGCUGACAUAUAUCUGUAAAUGUUGCUGCUCUAGAUGUGAUGAUAAGUCUCUCCCUUAACAUUUUCUCCAGAAGUUCAUUCCACACCUGCACAUUUCUAUUGACUCCGAAGACAAGGAGAUAGAAUAGGAUGCUUGUGGGCUUUGCCGAGAUUAACCUGAUUGGCGCUGACAUUGGCAGUACCUUCACAGUGUUCUUCUUUUCAAAUUUACUUCCUGAAAGCUCCUGUCUGCUGAUUUAAUGUCUCUUGUGUUUGUGUUUGUUUGUCUUCCCAGCAGAAGGAAAUUCUGUUUCUGCAUUGUAAACAUCAAGGAUGAUUUACUUGUUAAGAAGUAUUGGAACUUCUGUUGAAUUUAUUAAGGCCUCCCAUUGUUAAGCGUUU